CGGAGGACAGAGAAGGUAAGGCAGUUGUGUACCAUGCUGCCUUCUACUGGUUAUUGCCUCCGACAGUAAAAGAAUGCCAGGAACAUUUG
ensembl:snoRNA